ACAGAUUAAUCACUGACUAUUGAGUACACACCAGAGACAGACUCGGAUCAGUAGUGCAGAAAAGCUCAUUGCAAUCACGAGAAACAUGGAUUCCAGAAAGUUUCCAACAGACCGGAAUUCAGAAUCAGGGCACCAUUUGCUUCCACUGCAACAGGACCCUCCAGAGUACUCCGAUCUUGGAUUCCCUCCCUCUUACAUCACUUUCCAGCAAUGCGGAGCUCCGCUGGCACCUGGUCUGUGCACUCAAGGCUCAUAUCUGGGGCAGCAUGUGGUCACUGUGCAGCCUACUGUUGAAGUGUUCACUCCACUGGCCAAUCCACUGCCAGAUUACCUGUGCUACUCCAUCUUUACCAUGUUGUGCUGCUGUUUACCUCUGGGAUCGGCUGCUCUUGUUUACUCCAUCACAACUCGAGAUGCUAACAUGUUUGGACACCAGCAAAUAGCAAGCAGAAACUCCAGAAUGGCACGCAUCCUCAACCAUGUCAAUGUUGCUGUUGGCCUGAUCUUCUGUCUGAUUAUUGUAAUCUACUUCAUUCUUAUUUUUACUUCACUCUAGGGCAGACCAUAAUUGUAAGCAAUCUCAUGAUUUUCCAUUCUGCUUUUAAAUGCUAAUGUUGUUUAAGGUAUUUUGUUUAUAUGAUUGCUUUGCUGUAUGUAUGAGGAGCUCCAUCUGGAGGACAAGAGAGGGAAGAUUCAGUGUGUAAUUGACUUCUCACCAUAUCAUUGUUUAUACAUAAUUAAAAGACAUGCUUUUGAUUUUUUAAUUUUUUUUUAAACAAUGGAAGCUUUAACUGUUAAAGUAAAUGCAGUUUUUUUUCUGCUUGUCUUUAUAUUAGGUUAAAGCCUGGAUUAAUCAAUAACAGAAAUUAUGUCUUAUUUUAUCCAACUUUUGUCUGUUUUUGCCAUAAUACACUAACAUUUUCAUUUUCUCUGGUUUUCAGUUUAGUUUUAUAUUCUUCUUAAUUUACAUUUACAUUACAUUACA